rnacentral:rRNA from 1 species
AGGACGCUUCCUUCGGGAAGCGAGCGUACACAGGUGCUGCAUGGCUGUCGUCAGCUCGUGUCGUGAGAUGUUCGGUUAAGUCCGCUAACGAGCGCAACCCUCACUGUGUGUUACAUGUGUCACACGGGACUGCCGGUUUUAAGCCGGAGGAAGGCGAGGAUGACGUCAAGUCAGCAUGGCCUUUAUAUCUUGGGCUACACACACGCUACAAUGGUCUGUACAAUAGGUUGCCAAGCCGCGAGGCGGAGCCAAUCCUUAAAGCAGGCCUCAGUUCAGAUUGCAGGCUGCAACCCGCCUGCAUGAAGAUGGAGUUGCUAGUAACCGCAGGUCAGCUAUACUGCGGUGAAUACGUUCCCGGGUCUU